rnacentral:rRNA from 1 species
CCUACGGGAGGCAGCAGUGAGGAAUAUUGGUCAAUGGCCGGAAGGCUGAACCAGCCAAGCCGCGUGAAGGACGAAGGUGCCAAGCAUUGUAAACUUCUUUUGUCAAGGGACAAAAUCAGGCUCGAGAGCCUGACCGAGGGUACUUGAAGAAAAAGCAUCGGCUAACUCCGUGCCAGCAGCCGCGGUAAUACGGAGGAUGCGGGCGUUAUCCGGAUUUAUUGGGUUAAAAGGGUGCGGAGGCGGGCGGUUAAGUGAGCGGUAAAAGCCCGGGGCUAAACCCCGGCGAGCCGUGGAAACUGGCUGGCUUGAGAUGGCGAGAGGUAUGCGGAAUGCGCAGUGUAGCGGUGAAAUGCUUAGAUAUGGCGCAGAACUCCGAUUGCGAAGGCAGCAUACCGGCGGCGAUCUGACGCUGAGGCACGAAAGCGUGGGUAUCGAACAGGAUUAGAUACCCGGGUAGUC